AAACGACUCUCGGCAACGGAUAUCUCGGCUCUCGCAUCGAUGAAGAACGAAGCGAAAUGCGAUACUUCGUGUGAAUUGCAGAAUCCCGUGAAUCAUCGAGUCUUUGAACGCAAGUUGCGCCCGAAGCCUUUUGGCCGAGGGCACGUCUGCCUGGGUGUCACGC
rnacentral:rRNA from 1 species